rnacentral:sRNA from 1 species
CGGGAGCUGCCCUGGCCAGGGGAGGGAGGGCAGGACCCAGGCUGGGGCUGGGCUUCUGGAGCCCGCACAGGCAGAACCUGGACGACAGCUCACAUGUCUCCACAGGCGGAAUGGCAAGGUGGGACUGUCUGGCAUGGCCAUCGCGGACAUCACCCUCCUGAGUGGAUUCCACGCCUGCGUGCUGACCUGGAGAAGCUGACCUCCCUCUCUGACCGUUACGUGAGUCACUUUGAGACCGAGGGGCCCCACGUCCUGCUGUAUUUUGACUCGGUCCCACCUCUCGGGAGUGCGUGGGCUUUGAGGCUGUGCAGGAAGUGCCGGUGGGGCUGGUGCAGCCGGCCAGCGCAACCCUGUACGACUACUACAACCCCGAGCGCAGAUGUUCUGUGUUUUACGGGGCACCAAGUAAGAGCAGACUCUUGGCCACCUUGUGUUCUGCUGAAGUCUGCCAGUGUGCUGAGGGGAAGUGCCCUCGCCAGCGUCGCGCCCUGGAGCGGGGUCUGCAGGACGAGGAUGGCUACAGGAUGAAGUUUGCCUGCUACUACCCCCGUGUGGAGUACGGCUUCCAGGUUAAGGUUCUCCGAGAAGACAGCAGAGCUGCUUUCCGCCUCUUUGAGACCAAGAUCACCCAAGUCUGCACUUCACCAAGGAUGUCAAGGCCACUGCUAAUCAGAUGCGCAACUUCCUGGUUCGAGCUUCCUGCCGCCUUCGCUUGGAACCUGGGAAAGAAUAUUUGAUCAUGGGUCUGGAUGGGGCCACCUACGACCUCGAGGGACACCCCCAGUACCUGCUGGACUCGAAUAGCUGGAUCGAGGAGAUGCCCUCUGAACGCCUGUGCCGGAGCACCCGCCAGCGGGCAGCCUGCGCCCAGCUCAA